CUUGACUGCAGUCCUCUCUCCCCUAUCACAAAGCAAUUGUUGCAUUCCUUACCAUAGGAUCACAGCAGACAUUUUCAGUAAGAAUGGGGUGAGGGACCUUCCCUUUUUAGGGCAGAUUUAUUCACAGGUAGUGUAACUCUAUGAAAUGUAUGACCUGAGAAUCUCUCAGGCCACCUUUUCAGCUGUUCAUAGGGUGAAUAGUGUUUGGAACGCUUCAGCUUUAAUAUUUAGGAAACUACUUUGAUUAAGAUUGCCUUUCACACAGCUGAAAAAGGUCCAUUUAAAAUAGGAACCAUUACAGACUACUUAAAAUAAUGCAUUUGAAGGAUAGUUCCAGAGAGAGUGAGAGGGAAUAAGAGAUCCAACUUACCAAAAUUAAAUUACAGGAUAUGAACAACAAAGGAGAAAUCUUGCACUAGGAAGCCAGCAACAGUCAGAAAGCUCUGUACUGAGCAGCGAUGAUGAAGAUGAAACAAGAGCUAAUGAUGUGUAUGUGCCUACUAUAGCAUCUCAACAACAGGGAUCACUGGACAAGGAAACUUAAAGUUCAAAGUACAUAUGCCUUAUGACCCAUCAAACACUGAAUUUUGCUUUUUUUAAAAAAAUUUGUAUACAGACAGGACUAAGUUAUAUUGCUAUGACCUGGCUUAACUUUGAAGCCUUCACUUUCUCUACUAAUUUCCCUCUUUCGAUGAGGACAACAUCCUGUGUUGCAUGAUGAUCAAAUGAUAACAACUUUAGGAGAAAAAGGCAGCCCAAGGCAGAUUUACAAUCUUGUCUGUAUCCUUAUAGACAAGUUGGGGGGUUAUGCAAGGAGGGGAGAUUAGUCACAGGCCAUAGCUCACAAUGUAUUGCAUUUACUUUUCAUGCCAAGGUCUGGUAGUGAUGUUGGAUAUGGAAAUACUUUCACUAGUAUUGAUGAGGCUUGGCAUCACGAGACCAGCAGGCAGCAGCCGGGUGAGGUUGAAAGAGCUCAGUGCUGCAGCAUUCAACAUUGACCAAAGGGUCCUUCCCGAGGCUGGAACUUGCCAGAGCUGUCUGCAGUGUUACUCUGUAGUGUCAGACCGCAUUCCCUUCUGGAACGAGGACAGCUCGAUCCUUCAGUUACAAAGCUGCUACUGAUGACCUGUUGGAGAUUAACUCUGCCAGUACAUAGACUGCCCAGUGCUGGAGACUGCUGUUACUUCAAAUCCUAGAGCAGGGUGACUGACUGCAUUUUCUCGCAAUGAAAACUAAGAUGCUGUUUCCUUUAGGACAGGGAGAUCUGAACUCCUCAUUACAUGCAGCAAACUGAGAGAGUUAAAGACAUACAGGGUUCUUCAAAAGAAAUGUAUCAUGGCCAGUCAGUACAGUCAGAUGAUUAUGUGACAUUUUAUAUAUCAGUAAACCUUGAUGCCCAGUGGUAUUAAUGGCUGCUCUUUCUAGGUCUGUUCUCUCUAGGGAAUGGCAACCAGCCAUGAGGUGUCCAAUUUUUACUCACAGGUAAGGAUCCACAUGUUGUCAUCCUUUCUGCUUUGUGGGAGGGGGAACGGGGCAGAGGGGGAGCUGCUCAACUCAGUUGGCUAAUGUGGGAUGCUACAGGCAGCUGGCUUGAAGCACAGACCUUGCCAUGGAGAUCCAAAAAAUUCCUUCUUGGUUGUGUACGCAGAGGGAGAAACCCUUGCCAAGAGGGCACUGGCAGAUCUGUGGGUCCCUUAUUAUCCUAGGAGUGAUGAACUGAUUCCAGAUACUCCAAGUCCUACUGGCCUGGUGCCAAAAGAGCAGCAAACUCAAAUCCUUUCCUCCCAAUACGGGUUGUGGUUUCCUUUCUUCCAGAUUCUGUGAAAUGAACAACUGUUUUUGUCAACCCACUGCAGCCAUCUCUUCUACAGUCAGUGCCUCCCUGUUGCCCUUGAGACUGCCAGGGCUUGCCCAACCUGCAGGACAGAACUAACUUAUGAUGACUAUCAUCUGGUUUACGUAUGAGUACUUCUGUUUCUGAAAUACAGACUCAGAUGGAUUUGGAGGGUUAGGUCUUAGAGGGACUUUUUUCUUCAUGUAUAUAGUUCUUGUUGUUUACAAUUCCAUUUUUCCUGAAUUUAGUUAUAAAUAAAGUCUUAAUUGAUUUAAA